GACGAACGCUGGCGGCGUGCUUAACACAUGCAAGUCGAACGGAAAGGCGCUGCUCUUGUGGGGUGCUCGAGUGGCGAACGGGUGAGUAACACAUGAGUAAACUGCCCUUGACUGUGGGAUAACUUCAGGAAACUGGGGCUAUUACCCGAUAGAAGCUCCUGCUGCAUGGUGGGGGUUGGUAAGUUUCGGCUGUUGGGGAUAGACUCGCGGCUUAUCAGCUUGUUGGUGGGGUAGUGGCUGACCAGGGCUUUGACGGGUAGGCGGCCUGGGAGGUUGACCAGCGACAAGGCUACUACGGUAGGCAGCAGUCGGCAAUGGGAGGCAGCAGGGGAAAGUAUGACACAGCAAGGGGGAGUGUGUGACGGAGGCGUCCCGUUCGUGAAGCCGGCCUUUGGGGUAUGAACCGCUUUGGCCUGAGACGAAGCGGGAGUGACGGUACUGGAUAAAGAAGCACCGGCUAACUACGUG
rnacentral:rRNA from 1 species